UAUGAGGGAUCAAGACCUAUUGUUUCCACUUAUCCUUGGCCUCGAUUUCCUUGUGACAACUGUCCUAAACCUUGAUUUCAGCAGCUUUUCCUACUCAUUUCCUGGACAGAACAAGUCACCACAGUUAUUCUCUUGCUACCUGCAACCUGCCAGCAUUAACAUUCAUUGUGCAGUAUCAAUCAAACAAGUCAGAAAAUACCAUAACUACCAUUAAGGAUUUGGUGAGUCAAGCAAAGAUUUCAUGUACCGAGAAGAGGCAACUGGAAAGUCUCUUGCUGAACUGGUCUACUGUCUGCACUGAUGAGCUAGGGCAAACCUCUAUUAUUAAACAUCAGAUUGUGACAAAUGACUAUUCUGGUACGGAAAAGACCAUACCCUGAACCAAUCGACAAGCAGAAGUUCAUUGAUGAAGAGAUUGAGUCAAUGCUGAACAAAGGCAUAAUACGACCAUCCACAUCCCCGUGGGCAGCUCCUAUAGUAUUAGUACCGAAGAAAGAUGGGAGUGUUCGCUUCUGUGUAGACUACCGGUCCUUGAACGCUAAAACCCCACUAGGGCUGUUUUGACCCAAGAAUCUGACCGAGGUGAACAUGUUAUUGCAUAUGCCUCACGUCUACUUCAUGGAGCUGAGAAAGCAUAUUCCGUAUCUGAGAAGGAAUGUCUCGCUGUGGUUUGGGCAGUGGAAAAGUGGCAGAAGUAUCUUGAAGGAAGACAGUUCCAAAUUCUCACAGAUAAUGCAGCUCUUGUCUGGGUAUUUAAUCAUCCUCGAUCUACCUCAAAGCUUUUGAGAUGGGCCAUCCGACUUCAGGGUCUUGAUUUCACUGUACAAUACAGAAAAGGUCAGUGCAAUGUUGUUCUGGACUCAUUGUCUCGUGCCCUACCGGGAGAGGAAUUCCCGAAUUCAAUUGCAAUAUGUCAUGCACAGGAUGUGGGUAAGGAUUUACCUGUACAUUCAUUAUUGUUAGGACUCGGACUAUCUUGGCCUCUAGAGGCCGCUAUUGCUUCUGUGUUUUGUGUUUUUGUUUAGACAUCCAUGUGCUUUUGUUUUUCCAUGUGCCUUGUGCCCCGCCUAGUCCUCAUUACUUGCACCUGUUUUCAGUUUGCCCCCUUGAUUUGUAUUUGUGUAUUUAUACCCCCUCAGUUUGGCCUCUUGUCACGGAGUCUUUGUGCUGUUAUGUUUAAGACUAGUAACCUCUGUUCCGUGUUCCUUACAUAUGUCUUUGUGUUGUUUUUGGUACUUUGCUUUCGUGUGAACUUUUUGGACUUUGAAUUUGCUGUUGUUGGAUCUUCUGAGCGUUUGGAUUUUUGCCUCUUCUUUUCUGAUUUUUGGUUUCUUGGACUGUGCACUUUUGGAUUUUUUUUAAUUUUUUCCCUCGUAUCUUCUGAGCGUUUGGAUUAUACUUUUGUUAUUUUUUGCCUUGGAUUUUGGAUCUUUAUUAAUAAACUGUUUCUUUUACUCUACUCUCGCCUCACUCCUCUGCACUUGAGUCAUUCCCCUGGUGGCCUAGUGGGGGUUUGCUGGAUUACUACUCUGGCAACCCGGGUUUGAUUCCCAGCAAAACCCUAACGAUUAUGUUGUGCAGAACCAGUAUUUGUUCCGAUGUAUUCCGGGCUCUUUGAGAGGUAGUAACCUGCAAGUAGUUAUUCCUGCAAAUCUGCAUUAGAAUGAUAACCCAUUGAGUGGACAUAUGGGACGUAUGAAGACAUUACGCCGGUUGCUCAAUGUCGUAUACUGGCCAGAAAUUCGACGGGAUGUCUGGAAUCAUUGCAAGCAAUGUCAGGUUUGCCAACAGUAUAAGCCAUGAAUUUCCAAGCUCUCUGGACCGUUACAGUCUACGCCGAUCAAGGAUCCUGGAUAUAUGUUGGGUCUGGAUCUCAUGGGCCCUUUCCCAAGAAGUUCUAAAUUGAAUGAGUAUCUGUUGGUUGUCGUGGAUUACUGCAGUCAGUGGGUAGAAGUGUUCCCAUUACGCUCAGCGAAGACUCAUGUUAUAGUAGACAUUCUGAUCAAGGAGAUUUUUACUUGUUGGGGAACGCCAACUUACCUGGUGUCAGAUCCAGGACCUCAGUUUACAUCUCAACUUCUUAAUGCCACAUGCAAGCAGUGGAGAGUGGUUUAAAAAUUGACCGCUGCGUAUCACCCGCAAACCAACUUGACAGAGAGAGUGAACCGCACAAUUAAAACCAUGAUCGCCUCUUAUGUUAAAGAUAACCAUCGACGUUGGGAUAAGUGGGUCCACGAGUUUCGCUUUGCAGUUAAUUCGGCAUGGCAAGGAAGUACUUCAUUCACACCAGCUGAAGUUGCCAUAGGACGCAAACUGAAAGGACCCAUGGAGCGGUUUCAAUAUCAUCAUCCAGAUCCUGAUCAUUCUGCUUACAAGGUUAUUGAACGCCAGCAAUCCCUACUAGACAGGGUAAAGCAAAAUGUGGAGAGAGCCCAGGAGCGACAAAGGAAGUACUACAACCAGAAAAGACGUCAGGAAACGUUUGAAGAAGGAGAUCUCGUCUGGGUUCGUGCUCACCCAUUAUCUCGUGCAGGGGAUGCGUUCAUGGCCAAGUUAGCCCCUAAGUGGCAAGGUCCAGCAAAGGUGAUCAGACAAUUGGACAAAGUCAAUUAUAGAGUUGAAGUGUCAACCGACCCCGUACAUACCGAAACCUCUCAUGUAGAGAACAUGAAAAGGUUUUAUGGUUAUGUCUAACCUUUCUCUGAAGGGGGGAGGUGUGUAACAGUCUUGGUAAACUGUUCCAUUUUCUUUCAUUGUAAUCCCACUCCCUACCUCAAGGGGGAAAUAGGGAGUGUGGUGGAAGAAAAGUCUAUCCUUUUAAAAGGGGCAAGUGAGACUGUUUGUUAAAGGUGCUGGCAUGGCUUUGAGUAUUUGCUUGUCUCAGCUUUGCUAUUAUAAACCCUAAUAUGAGGAGCUUCUUUGGUUCUACAGCUCAUAGGGGUUCACUGUAGGCCUCAUUAAUCUAACAAGAUGGACACUUCCUCUGGACUAUGAUUUGUAUCCAACAUCGAUCACAUUACUUCUUUAUUGGACUAUGCUUUAUGGUUUGGAAUACUUCAUAUUGGAUUUCUACUCUACAAAUUGAUGAACUGUUGGUCUCUUUCACAAACUGUCUUGGACUGAUGAGAAAUUGACUUGGUUUCAAACUUAUGGUUGGACUGAAAUGCUCAAAGUGAUGUUUUGUUGAAAUAGUUGAUUUUGUAUGUUUUGUUCUCCACUCUCAAAUUUAAAUACUGCUCUCAGAUGUAUGGAUCCCCCUUUAUUUAUUUAUUUAUGUAUGUAUGUAUGUAUGUGACUAAAAUAGAUUUGGUACAACUUGUUUUUGUUACUUAAAAUUUAAAGGCUAAAAUUUCAUGAGUGUCAGGGUAAGUCACAUGGACACACCCACCUCGAAGCUGCAUGAAGUGGGAAUUUUUGCCAUUAGUGGACCACCAGUUCUGCCAUUAGUGGACCACCUGUUUUGCUGUCAUUGGGCCACCAGUGUUGUCAUUCUUUUGCCACCGGUUUUAGCACUGAAAAAAUUGAGUUUUUCUUGCAUUUGACUGAUCUUCUCUGUACUCUUUCUGCAGGUGAAGCUGUAUUGUGAUCAUGGAAAUUACACAGCCAGAGACGUGAACGUUCUGAUUUAAGCUGAUAGAUUUGGAAAUUCUUUGUUCAGACUAAAUUGAAGGCUUUGUCCAAAUUGCACAGUGUGCACUAAGUACAAUAACUAAAUUACGCCAAAUGACACCAAAGGCGUACUGACAUAUUAUUUAUUACAGUACUUCACCGCUCUGAGGUUUUAACUGUCUGCUUCUGUUAUCACAUGUUACAGAGCAUGUUAAUUAACUUGUUAUCAAUUAAUAUUAAGUGUAUUUAGAGUGUAAUUUUAUUCAAACUAAGUGUUUAGUAAUUUAUCAACAUUCUUGCAGUAACUGUUAAUGUUCUGGAUGGUUCUGUCUUGUUUCCACACUCACUAUGUCGUUACACUGUCUAUAAAAUACUUGCUAGUUAGCUAAUUCAUAAUUUUACACUGACUUAACAGCAGUUUGUUUGCUAACUCAAUUAUAAUUUUAGCCAUGCAGUGUUUUUGCUUAAAUCCAUCAACACAUCUGUAAAGGUAAAUGUUGAUGUUCUGGAUGGUUCUGUUGCGUUUCCACUCUCAAUGUGUCUUUACACUGUCUAAAACCUUCUACAGGUGAAGACCAAACCCAGAACUCAGUACAGGGACCAAGACAUUGAGAUCAUACAGAACCAAGAGGAGCCAUGAAGAGUACCUUCUAUAAUAAUCACAUACUGUAACACACACUGAGUUUCUGUUGAUGGAGAUAAAACUGCUUCAGGAGAUAAAACAUUUUAACUACACUGAGAAUAAUAAACGCUGAUUAACAUCA